GACGAACGCUGGCGGCGUGCCUAAUACAUGCAAGUCGAACGCAGUGGGGACGGGUGAGUAACACGUGGGUAACCUCCCAUCAGAGGGGAUAACACUUGGAAACAGGUGCUAAACCGAUACUGAUGGAUGGACCCGCGGUGCAUUAGCUAGUUGGUGAGGUAACGGCUCACCAAGGCCACGAUGCAUAGCGUGCCUGAGAGGGUGAUCGGCCCCACUGGGACUGAGACACGGCCCAGACUCCUACGGGAGGCAGCAGGGUGGAAUCUUCCGCAAUGGGCGAAAGCCUGAUCGAGCCAUGCCGAGUGAGUGAAGAAGGUUUUCGGAUUGUAAAACUCUUUUGUUAGAGAAGCGGUAUCUAACGAGAAAGCCACGGCUAACUACGUGCCAGCAGCCGCGGUAAUUC
rnacentral:rRNA from 1 species